rnacentral:tRNA from 1 species
GGGGGUAUAGCUCAGUGGUAGAGCACAUGCUUAGGAUACAUGAGGUCCUGGGUUCAAUCUCCAGUACUUCCU